GACGAACGCUGGCGGCGUGCUUAACACAUGCAAGUCGAACGGAAAGGCCCUGCUUGCAGGGUGCUCGAGUGGCGAACGGGUGAGUAACACGUGGGUGAUCUGCCCCUUAUUUUGGGAUAAGCCUGGGAAACUGGGUCUAAUACUGGAUAGGACCAUGCUGUAGGUGGUGUGGUGGAAAGAUUAGUUUCGGUAAGGGAUGAGCUCGCGGCCUAUCAGCUUGUUGGUGGGGUAAUGGCCUACCAAGGCGUCGACGGGUAGCCGGCCUGAGAGGGUGGACGGCCACAUUGGGACUGAGAUACGGCCCAGACUCCUACGGGAGGCAGCAGUGGGGAAUAUUGCACAAUGGGCGCAAGCCUGAUGCAGCGACGCCGCGUGGGGGAUGACGGCCCUCGGGUUGUAAACUCCUUUCAGCCAUGACGAAGCCCUUGUGGUGACGGUAGUGGUAGAAGAAGCACCGGCUAACUACGUG
rnacentral:rRNA from 1 species